rnacentral:tRNA from 1 species
AUUCCUCUGGCAGAUCAAAUGCAAUAAAUUUAGAAUUUAUUAAUACAUUAUCAAUGUGAGGAAUA